rnacentral:rRNA from 1 species
AGCGAACGCUGGCGGCAGGCCUAACACAUGCAAGUCGAACGAACCUUUCGGGGUUAGUGGCGGACGGGUGAGUAACACGUGGGAACGUGCCUUUAGGUUCGGAAUAACUCAGGGAAACUUGUGCUAAUACCGAAUGUGCCCUUCGGGGGAAAGAUUUAUCGCCUUUAGAGCGGCCCGCGUCUGAUUAGCUAGUUGGUUGAGGUAAUGGCUCACCAAGGCGACGAUCAGUAGCUGGUCUGAGAGGAUGAUCAGCCACAUUGGGACUGAGACACGGCCCAAACUCCUACGCGAGGCAGCAGUGGGGAAUCUUGCGCAAUGGGCGAAAGCAUGACGCAGCCAUGACGCGUGAAUGAUGAAGGUCUUAGGAUUGUAAAAUUCUUUCACCGGGGACGAUAAUGACGGUACCCGGAGAAGAAGCCCCGGCUAACUUCGUG